AUUGAACGCUGGCGGAAUGCUUUACACAUGCAAGUCGAACGGCAGCACGGACUUCGGUCUGGUGGCGAGUGGCGAACGAGUGAGUAAUGUAUCGGAACGUGCCCAGUCGUGGGGGAUAACGUAGUGAAAAUUACGCUAAUACCGCAUACGAUCUAUGGAUGAAAGCGGGGGAUCGCAAGACCUCGCGCGAUUGGAGCGGCCGAUAUCAGAUUAGGUAGUUGGUGGGGUAAAGGCCCACCAAGCCAACGAUCUGUAGCUGGUCUGAGAGGACGACCAGCCACACGGGAACUGAGACACGGUCCAGACUCCUACGGGAGGCAGCAGUGGGGAAUUUUGGACAAUGGGCGAAAGCCUGAUCCAGCCAUUCCGCGUGCAGGAUGAAGGCCCUCGGGUUGUAAACUGCUUUUGUACAGAACGAAAUGGUUUCUACUAAUACUAGGAGCUCAUGACGGUACUGUAAGAAUAAGCACCGGCUAACUACGUGCCAGCCGCCGCGGUAA
rnacentral:rRNA from 1 species